UACAGAGGUCCCAAGCGUUGUUCGGAUUCACUGGGCGUAAAGGGUGCGUAGGCGGUCGGGUAAGUCUGAUGUGAAAUCUCACAGCUUAACUGUGAAACUGCAUUGGAUACUAUUCGGCUUGAGAGUUGGAGGGGGACUGGAAUUCUUGGUGUAGCAGUGAAAUGCGUAGAUAUCAGGAGGAACACCUAUUGCGAAGGCAGCUCGCUGGGACGUAACUGACGCUGAGACGCGAAAGCGUGGGGAGCAAACAGG
rnacentral:rRNA from 1 species